GCUUGGGAAUAUGCCUUAGGGUGGGGGACAACAGUUGGAAACGACUGCUAAUACCGCAUAACGUCUACGGACCAAAGGGGGCUUCGGCUCUCGCCCUUAGAUUAGCCCAAGUGGGAUUAGCUAGUUGGUGAGGUAAAGGCUCACCAAGGCGACGAUCCCUAGCUGGUUUGAGAGGAUGAUCAGCCACACUGGAACUGAGACACGGUCCAGACUCCUACGGGAGGCAGCAGUGGGGAAUAUUGCACAAUGGGGGAAACCCUGAUGCAGCCAUGCCGCGUGUGUGAAGAAGGCCUUAGGGUU
rnacentral:rRNA from 1 species